rnacentral:rRNA from 1 species
GUGCCAGCCGCCGCGGUGAUACGGAGGGUGCAAGCGUUGUCCGGAGUCACUGGGCGUAAAGGGUGCGCAGGCGGGGCCGCAAGUCGGAGGUGAAAGCCCAUGGCUCAACCAUGGAAGUGCCUUCGAAACUGUUGCUCUUGAGUCCCGGAGAGGCUGUCGGAAUUCGUGGUGUAGCGGUGAAAUGCGUAGAUAUCACGAGGAACACCGGAGGCGAAAGCGGACAGCUGGACGGGUACUGACGCUCAGGCACGAAAGCGUGGGGAGCAAACAGGAUUAGAAACCCUAGUAGUCC